CUAGCGUUUCAGAGCAGUUGGGGGCCACGGAAUGAGUGUUGUAUGGCGUUGAAGCUCGAUUUGGAGGUUUUUUAACAGUGUCCGAAGGAAGGCCAGAUGUAUACAGAAUGCGUAGAGGUGGAUCAAAGAAUCACCUGCAGCAAGAGCGACAUCAUUGAUAUAUACAGAGAAAAUAGUCGGUCUGAGAAUUGAACCCUGUGGCACACCCAUAGAGACUGCCAGAGGUCCGGACAUCAGGCACUCCGAUUUGACAGACUGAACUCUAUCUGAGAGGUAGCACAUUAAGAAAAAAUGUGCUAUCUAGAAAUUAAAAGGGUUCGUCAGCUGUCCUCAUAGGAGAACCCUUUGAAGAACCUUUGUUGGUUCCACGUAGAACCCUUUUUCUAAGGGAGCCAUGAAGUAUAGUGUGCUCUAGAUACCAAGGGAUUUACCUGGGGCAGCUAGAUGUCAGGUGAGCCGAAGAGCAGCUCUCUCUCCAGGGGCGGCUAGAUGAGAGAGGACUGUAUGCUGGUCAAAGAGAUGUUAGGGGUGCUUCAGGCUUCAUGUGUUAGUCUGCCCAGUGCAGAAUAUGGCCAGAUACACUAGACAGAUCUCUUCAUUGAGAUAAAGUGAUUUGGCUAAACUUAUUAAUAAGAAGGAAACCCUCAAAUGUCAUUAAUGAGCACAGUGUAGGCACUGCAUUUUUUGGAAAAGUGAAAUAAUCUAUUAGAUUUGAUCAGUUUGUAUGAUAAUGCUUCGGUCUGAUUUCCGUCAGAGCUGUAACACUUGGCCACAGAGCACUCUACACUUGAAUCACCAAUGUGGACAGUGCAGACUUUAAAUAAAAUGAGUAGGUCAUGUGGUUACUCUGAGAUUCCAUGAAAUGGGGUGAAUGGGCUAAGAGAUUUCUUCUUUGUUCGAUGUAGUCUACUAUGUUAGAUGAAGUUACGAUUAGUUUACAGUAUAUGCAACUGUGAUUCAUACUGUGAGUCAGAGUUUAUUUUGUUAAUGUAUAAUUCCCUUUUUUGUGAUUUGACAUUAAGGGUAUCUUAGAGAGUAUAAAAGAAGCCUGAUCACCGAAAGGUUCAAAGGCCCCAAAUUAACACAAAGAUGAGCAAGGCACAUUUGAUUGGUAACUUGAUUCAAUUUUACAAUUGAUUGGUGACUGAUCUGAUUUGACAAUUGAUUGGUAACUGAUCAAGUUUUAGAUAUUGGUCUGUGUAUUGAUUUCCUUCUUUGCAGGUUCUGUCACAUUGGCUUUUGCGGUACACCUUGUUCAGAGCAUUUCAGCAAGGGAUAAGGGAUGUCUCUUAAAGAUGCAGGAUGUGGCAUGGAAUGAUAUCAGACCAAAAUAUGGCAUGGAUGCAAUGUGGGCAACUCACUGUAGUUGGAAACCGAUGCAAAAUAACAAGACUGAGUGCAUUUUCAAAUUCCUGAAAUGGUCUCGUUGCCCGAGCGAUGAAAAAGAUGUUAUGGAGGAAUUGAGGGGAAACGUUACGGAGAAAUUGAGGAUGAUACAAUGUAGAUUGGCAUAUUCUGCAAAGGCAAGUAUUUUGAUAUUCUAUCUGUCAUAUUUUCCACAUGUGUCUAUCAUUGUUGUUAUUGUGACAGACAGUAAUAGUAAGGUGUUUGCUGUCAAUUGAAGUGUUGUUUGAUUGUGUGCUUGAUUUUCACAGGUUCCAGAGUGUGAACAUCUGGAGGACAAUCAGAGGCAGCCAGUUCAAAAUGGCAGAUAUCUGUGCAAGUUCUUGCAAUGCUGGCAAAUUUUUAUAUCUGCAAACCUAAUUGAUUGAUUUUUUAUGGCCAUAUUUAAAACCAACUACAGAAGAGCUGUUUGGUAUUGUUUUUAAAUAAAAUAUGAAUGAACA